CCCUUAGAUGUCCUGGGCCGCACGCGCGCUACACUGAUGCAUUCAACGAGUUUUACCUUGGCCGAGAGGCCUGGGCAAUCUUUUAAACCUGCAUCGUGAUAGGGAUAGAUUAUUGCAAUUAUUAAUCUUGAACGAGGAAUUCCUAGUAAACGCAAAUCAUCAAUUUGCAUUGAUUACGUCCCUGCCCUUUGUACACACCGCCCGUCGCACCUACCGAUUGAAUGGUCCGGUGAAGCCUCGGGAUUGUGGCCAGUUCACUUUAUUGGGAGUUGGCUGUGAGGACUUGUCUAAACCUUAUCAUUUAGAGGAAGGUGAAGUCGUAACA
rnacentral:rRNA from 1 species